rnacentral:rRNA from 1 species
UACGUAGGGUGCAAGCGUUGUCCGGAAUUAUUGGGCGUAAAGAGCUCGUAGGCGGUUUGUCGCGUCUGCUGUGAAAACUCGGGGCUUAACCCCGGGCCUGCAGUGGGUACGGGCAGACUAGAGUGCGGUAGGGGAGACUGGAAUUCCCGGUGUAGCGGUGAAAUGCGCAGAUAUCGGGAGGAACACCAGCGGCGAAGGCGGCACUCUGGGCUGGAACUGACGCUGAGGAGCGAAAGCGUGGGUAGCAAACAGG